UAAAGCCUCACGCUUAAAAAGAAAAAUUAGCGCAAAUCACUCUGACUUUAUGCCUUUUAGUCAGAGAAAAUAAAUAAUAUAUUCAAACGGGACCAGAUCCGGAGCCGCAAAAUAGCAGUGUUUCCUUGCCGGUGGUGCAGACAAGAACGGGAGGGAUGAGCUGGGAGGCUCGAGCAGGAGGGGCGGAGGGGCUCUAAGCCCCACGCUGCGAGUGGGGUUGCAGGGAAAGUUGCCGGGUCCUGCGUGCUGAGCCGCCUGGGCCGUGCAUAGGCGGCGGCAGCGGGGCAGCCAACUCCGGGGCCCGGCCGCCGCUCGACCUCGGGCUGGAGCCCCACUACACCCGCAGCGGCCCAGCCCGGCCCGACUCGCGGCCUCGGCAGCUCUCUGGCCUGCGCGGCGUGGGCACGCCCGACCCCGAAACUUUCGCCCGGGGCCGUGGGCGGGAGGCGAGGACGCAAGGUCCUGGGCCGGCGCGGGGCGUGCGUCCACGCAGCCCACGGGCGAGGGCUCGCACCGCCCGCCGCGUCCGAGGGGCGCUGCCCGGCCCGGCCCGCAAGCUGGCACAAAACAAAAGUAAGAGUUCGGGGCGUCGGCGGGGGGCGCGGUGGCGCGGGAGGGCGCAGGCAGACAGGGCGCCCCGGUACAGCCGGCGUGCGGGGCUUGCGGGGCUCAGCCGCCCCUCCCCGGCGCGGAGGAACCGCCGGCACCGCGCUCCGCGCCGCAGACGCCGAGUCCAGAUUGCAGCGUGUCAGGGGCUGCAGCCGCGGCCACACGUGCGGGGCACCCGCAAGCCCCGGCACUCCGCAGUCCGGCGCCCCGAUAUUAAUUAACGCAUUAAUAAGAGGGCGCCAUUAGCCAUGUGCCCACACAAAUGGCCGAGCAGGAGGAAUGCACCCGCAUGGAAACAAAGUUACUUUCUUAAAGCUGCAGCCCCCCCCCCCCGCACACGCGCGCGCACACACAGAAACACGCGCAGACACGGCUCCCGCCGAGGCACACGGCCGCCCCGCGCCCCCGCAGCUGCUUACCUGGGCGAGUGUUGAAGAAUGCAAUGGGAAGUUCCUGGGCGAACAUCUGGUGAAGACAUUCUAAGAACACAUCUGAAAUGAAGAAAGCAGUGCCUCAUUCCCUUUAAUCCCACCUGCAUAAGGAGACAGCCUGUUCUACUUCCUACCAGGAGAACCACCCAGUCAAGGCACUUAGGCCUGCACAAGGCAGAACUUGAAAACAUCAUGUAAGUGGUUCCUUUGUUUUUGUUUUUCCCUCUAAAAUUCUUCAGCCAAGUUGACAAGUUAGACUCCAGGCUCAUGGCUGGUGGAAGUAUUUGUGUCCUGUCUCUUCUGUUAUCCUUAAUAGACAAAACAGUAAAGCAUGCAAAUGCUGCCAAUAUCCCCAUGCGGUGAAAAUGAACUUCUUAAGCCUGCGUUGUCUAAACUGAGACCUAAAUCCAUUCAGGUGUUAAGUGGGACAAACACCCUUUCCUGUAACAAGAUGCCUCCGCUGUUAGAAGAGCACAAAACUGAACCAAAAACCUUGUUUUCACUUGGACUUGAUGUGGCUUGUAAGGACUGAGAAAAGCCUUGUGGUAGUUAUUGGCUAGCAUAGAAUAUAGCAGUUCCCAGGGGAAAGGCUGAACAUCUACCCAGGAUGACAGGGACAGAGCCAGUGGGUGGGUCUCUGCAGGGUCUCUUAGAGGGCCUUGGCAGGCAGAGUGGCUGCUCUUUUGCUGACUUUGCAUUUCAGGCUCUAUCACCACUUGCUCUUUGCGAAAGAGACUGCAGGAAAACGUGCCUUGCUUAGGAAUGACAUGCUCACCCAGCCUUGCUGAGGCAGGGAUGGCUGCUGAGGGACAGGUGUAUCUUAGAAAGUCCUUGCCCAGAGUCUGUGCCCUGGGUCAAGCAUCAGUAUGGCCACCACCACAUGUGAGGGCUAUGGCGUGCUGUGUUCCUGGGCAGGACUGCAUCCUUGCAUCACUGCAAAGAGACUGGAAUCUGAGUGAUGGCUGAUGGAUUGAUGAAGAAGGCGAACAACCAAGAGCAAAGAGGAGCUGGAGCCGAUGGGAGGAAUGCAGUGCCCACGAAGAGGUGCUGUUCUAGGCUGAAUCUGCCUUGUACUUGCAGAGGCACCCUGGGUACAUGGACCCUCACCCUUUGGCUUCAACGUGUGCUGCCUGGGAGCUCUGGGAGACUCUGCAUAGGCAUGAAAAACCGAGAAGAGACUGCAGCCCUAGUCACGGCUGCUGUGCCUUUCUGUUUUGUUGCUAAAGCAGCAAGAUUUACUUUGCAUGGAGGAUUCAACCAUGAAGGGAGUCUGAAAGCCCACAUUAUAAAGGGUGGCCGGGUACAGUGUUCCCCAGCUCUGAUGUUACAUGAAUCUAGAUGGAGGCAUGAAAAAAGAAUGGGUGCUGGGAAAGGAGCAGCAGGAGAAAAAGAAAUUCCUGCAACAAA